rnacentral:rRNA from 1 species
AACGAACGCUGGCGGCAGGCCUAACACAUGCAAGUCGAACGCACCGCAAGGUGAGUGGCGCACGGGUGAGUAACACGUGGGAAUGUACCCUUUGGUUCGGAAUAACGUUUGGAAACGAACGCUAAUACCGGAUGAGCCCUGUGGGGGAAAGAUUUAUCGCCAAAGGAGCAGCCCGCGUCUGAUUAGCUAGUUGGUGGGGUAAAGGCCUACCAAGGCGACGAUCGAGUAGCUGGUCUGAGAGGAUGAUCAGCCACACUGGGACUGAGACACGGCCCAGACUCCUACGGGAGGCAGCAGUGGGGAAUAUUGGACAAUGGGCGGAAGCCUGAUCCAGCCAUGCCGCGUGAGUGAUGAAGGCCCUUGGGUUGUAAAGACUCUUUCGCACGCGACGAUGAUGACGGUAGCGUGAGAAGAAGCCCCGGCUAACUUCGUGCCAGCAGCCGCGGUAAU